rnacentral:rRNA from 1 species
UACAGAGGGUGCGAGCGUUAAUCGGAGUGACUGGGCGUAAAGGGCGCGUAGGCGGUUAUAUUAGUCUGGUGUGAAAGACCUGGGCUUAACCUGGGAUAGGCAUUGGAAACGGUAUAGCUAGAGUGUGUGAGAGGGAAGGGAAUUUCCGGAGUAGCGGUGAAAUGCGUAGAUAUCGGAAAGAACACUAGUGGCGAAGGCGACUUUCUGGCACACAACUGACGCUGAGGCGCGAAAGCGUGGGUAGCGAACAGG